rnacentral:rRNA from 1 species
UCUGACGGAGCACGCCGCGUGAGUGAAGAAGGUUUUCGGAUUGUAAAGCUCUGUCUUCUGGGACGAAUGGUAUCCAUGUAAAUAAUGUGGAUACAUGACGGUACCAGAGGAGGAAGCCACGGCUAACUACGUGCCAGCAGCCGCGGUAAUACGUAGGUGGCGAGCGUUGUCCGGAAUUAUUGGGCGUAAAGCGCGCGCAGGCGGGAAGGUAAGUCUGACUUAAAAGUGCGGUGCUUAACGCCGUGAGGGGUCAGAAACUAUCUUUCUUGAGUGCAGGAGAGGACAGUGGAAUUCCCAGUGUAGCGGUGAAAUGCGUAGAUAUUGGGAGGAACACCAGUGGCGAAGGCGACUGUCUGGACUGUGACUGACGCUGAGGCGCGAAAGCCAGGGAAGUGAACGGGAUUAGAUACCCCGGUAAUCCUGGCCGUAAACGAUGGGUACUAGGUGUU